GGUCAUGGCAGCCCAAGGCGGGUCAUGGCGUCCCAAGAGGGUCAAGGCGGCCCNNNNNNNNNNNNNNNNNNNNUGAGUCAAGACACAUUAAGGCGGGUCAUGCGGCCCAAAGCAGGUUAAGGCGGGUCAUGGUGUGCCAAAGAAGGUCAAGGUGGCCCAAGGCGGGUCAAGGCAGGCCAAGGCGGGUCAUGGCGGCCCAAGGCGGGUCACAGCGUCUCAAAGAGGGUCAAAGCGGCCCAAGGCGGAUCAUGGUGGGUCAAGACAAGUUAAGGCAAAUCAAGACAGGUCAAGGCGGAUCACGGUGGGUCAAGACAUGUUUAGGCUGGUCAUGGCUGCCCAAGGCGGGUCAUGGCGGCCCAAAGUGGCGGGUCAUGGCGUGCCAAAUUGGGCCAAGGCGGGUCAUGGCGACCCAAAGUAGGCCAAGAUAGGUCAUGGCGGCCAAGGUAGGUGAAGACAGGUCAAAGCGGGUCAUAGCGGCCCAAAGCAGGUCAAGGCGGGUCAUGGCUUGCCAAAGAGGGUCAGGGCGGUCAAGGCGAUGCAAGCGGUCAUGCGUCCAAGAGGGUCGAAGACGGCCCAAGGUGGGUCAUGAUGUUCCAAGGCGAGCCUAGGAAAGUUAGAGCAACCCCCUGGCGGCCCUAGACGGGGAUAAGAGGGUCAUAGCGACCCCUUGGUGGCCAUAAAUGGGUCAUGGCGGCCCAAGGCGGGUCUUAGCGGGUCAAGGCAGCCCAAGACGGGUGAAGACGAGUGAAGGCGGCCUAUUAGCUGCCGCUUAGCGGCCCAAGGCAGGUCAUGGCGUCCUAAAGAGGGUCAAGGCGGCCCAAGACGGGUCAAGACAAGUCAAGGCGACCCAAAGUGGGUCAUGGCGUCCCAAGGCGGGUCAAGACUAGUCGAGGCGAGUCAUGGCGGGUCAAGGCUGGUCAUGGCGGCCUAAGGUGGGUCAAGACAGGUCACGGCAGCCCAAGGAGGGUCAAGGCAUGCCAAAGAGGGUCAAGGCUAGUCAUGGCGGCCCAAGGCUUGUCAAGGCAGGUCAUGGAGUCCCAAAGAGGGUCAAAGCGAGUCAUGGCUGGUCAAUACGGGUGAAGGCAGCCCCUUGGCGGGUCAAGAAGGGUCAAGGCUGCCCCUUAGACGGUGAAGGCGACCCUUUGGCGACCUUAGCCGGGUGAAGUGGCCCCUUAUGGGACCUAGACGGGUCAAGGUGGCCUCUUGCUGCCUUAGGCGGGUCAAUGCGGCCCCUUGGUGGACCUGGAUGGGUUAAGGCGGCCGAAAACGGGUCAAGGCCGCCCCUUGGUGGCCUUAGACGGAUCAAGGCCGCCCCUUGGUGGCCGUAGGUGGGUCUAGCAGGGUGAAGGCAGCCCCUUGGCGGCCUUAGACGGGUGAACGCAGCCUAAUUUGGUCCAAAGCGGGUCAAGGCAGGUCAUGGCGGCCCAAGGCGGGUCAUGGCAGGUCGAGGCGUGCAAAGAGGAUCAAGGCGGGUCAAGGCAGGCCGAGGCGGGUCAUGGCUGGUCAUGGCGGCCCACGACAGGUCAUGGCGUCCCAAAGAGGGUCAAGGCAAAGAAAACUCGUGUGCUAUAGCAAAGGGUUUUUACUCGAAUUAGGUGAAACUUGAAAUGUGGGACAAUACCUCAUUUUCUUUUGAAACUAAGGUUCCUGGUGUCAAUAUGAGAAGAAUUGAAGACAGCAAAAUUUUGGAAAGUCUCUCAAUACCAAUUUCAACAGCUUUACAAAACACGACACACGUGAGUUUUUUAGGCCCGAUCGCGAGUAAUUUAUAAAAGACAUGGAUUUUUGAAGCUAAAAUGGAUCAAUAUAUGUAAGGAGGUGUCUAUAAGCAAAACCGAACAUAAAAAGCCGAAGGCCAAAAAAAAAGUGAAACUGGCCAGAAACUCGUGUCCUAUAAGGGUUUUGGCUCGAAUUGGGUGAAACUUGAAAUGAGGGGCAAUACCUUUUUCUUCUUUUGGAACUAAGGUUCACGGUGUCAAUAUGAGAAGAAUUGAAGAGAACAGAAGCUUGGAAAUUCACUCAAAAACCUCUUAAAAACAACAAUUGCAAACAAGUUUACAAAACACGGCACGU
rnacentral:lncRNA from 1 species